CCCGCCCACACACACCCCGCUCACCAGGAUUCGGCCCCGCCCUGCCAGGCCCCUGGUUUCCAUGGAGACCCAACAUUCCCUCCUAGCCGUGCGCUCCGCGGCUGCGCCAGGGCAGCGCCCCGACCACGGCGCAGCGCACCCUUUCCACAUCCAGCGACUUACUGCUUCGCACACUCGCUAAUCACAAAGCCACCAUGUCGCUUCCCGGGCCCCUACUCUUUUUUUCUACCACGGAUUGAACCCAGGGGCACUCCACCCCUGAGCCCCGUCCCCAGCCCUUUUUUUAUUUUAUUUAGAGACAGGGUCUCGUCGAGUUGCUCAGCACCUUGCUUUUGCUGAGACUGGCCUCCACCUUGCGAUCCUCUUGCCUCAGCCUCCCCAGUCGCUGGGAUGACAGGCGUGCGCCACCGUGUCUGGCUCGGGCCCCUUCUCCAGUGGCUUUAAGGCGGGAGAGGGGAGCGGGAUCAGAACUGAGCCAAGUCUCUGGGAGUUGGGUCCUGGGUGUAGCAGGACCCCGAGAGGCGAGCUUUGUUUCCCUGGGGUGGGUGGGGUGGUGUGCCUUGGGCAUGUUCCCCAGGGCUCAGUGCAGAGCUCCCAGCUUGGAAGGUUGGAGAUCCACCCUUCCCAGGAGAGAAGCCCGUGGGAGGACACUCCUGCUUUGGGGACUGCCUCCCUCCCACAGGUCAGCACCAGGCCCUCACAGAAAUAGUGUGACACACUCUGAUCAUCGUCCAGGAGGCGGAAAGAACAUUCCACACCACCUGGGGUUCCCUCCCGCCAGAGACCCUGCGCAGAUUUCCAAUAGAAGAUCCAAAGGGUCUCGCUGAGUUGCCCAGGCUGACCUUGAACUUGGGAUCCUCCUGCGUCGGGAAGAGGCUGUGGCUCACAGGGGAACAGCAGGCUCGGGACCGCUUCCCCACUAUGUCGCUCUAUCACCAGGCUGGCCACCAGGGGGCGCUAGCUCCCUUUGAUUUUCUGUCCCAGACCCAGAGCAAACCCUGCAGAGGCUCCGAGCCUGGACAGAUGACAGACAUGGGUGGCAGGAACGGGAGACAGCGUCUCCCUGAGUUGCUCAGGGCCUCACUGUUGCUGAGGCUGGCCUCCACCUUG